GGCAAGAGGAGGGGAAGGACUCAAACCCAGGCCCCGCUCCCAAAUCCCCGGCCUCUAAGGCGGCCUCUGUGGGCAGGGGCAGGGCACGAGCCCAGGAUGCCAUGUGGUGGCUCAGGACACACACCCGAGGGAAAGAGAAAGUAAGGCCAAAGCCACGGGUGCCCCAAGGCCUGGUGUGGCCGGGGGCCUUGGGGAGAAGAUCCCCCAUAGCCCAGCUAGGCCCUGGUCUCGUGUUCCCCACCAGUACUUGACCCUGUGGCCACUCUGGUCGGCCAGGCCCAUCCACCCAUCACAGAACCUCUUCCCCGACUGCCUGCUGAUCAACACCCACAAUCUGCGCACACGGAGAUGCCGAGACCUGUGAUGUCUGGUCUCCAAGGCUCCGUCCAAUUCUGGACCGCCACAGCCAAGACGCUCUGAGCACCUGGGUACAAGUCUUUGCAGGAGCCGAUGGUCACUUCUCUUGACCAACUUGAUAUAUCCUGAUGUAAGAUCCUAGAAAGGGAGCUCACUCAGUGGGUCUGAUGUGGUGGAUGCUUGCCCGGGAAGUUCUGCGCGUGCGUGGCACCAUCUCCCGUGAACACCCAUAGGAGGUCAUGCCUGACCUCUACAACUACAGAAAUCCUGAAGAGAUUGAAAAGGAAGAGCAGGCGGCAGCUGAGAAGGCUGUGAGCAAGGAGGAAUUUCAGGGUGAAUGGACUGUUCCAGCUCCUCAGUUCCCUGCUGCUCAGCCUGAGGUGGCGGACUGGUCCGAAGGUGUGCAGGUGCCCUCUGUGCCUGUUCAGCGGUUCCCCGCUGCUCAGGCCACUGAGUGGGUAGGAACCGCCACCGAGCGGUCUUAAGCUGUUCUUCCACAAACUCUUAAAAUGGAAAUAGGUUGACGGAAAAUAAAGUUUCUAAAAAAAAAUUAAAAUAAAAAAAUAAA